rnacentral:rRNA from 1 species
GAAGGGGGGGCAAGUGUUCUUCGGAAUGACUAGGCAUAAAGGGCACGUAGGCGGUGAAUCGGGUUGAAAGUGAAAGUUGCCAAAAAAGUGGCGGAAUGCUCUCAAAACCAAUUCACUUGAGUGAGACAGAGGAGAGUGGAAUUUCAUGUGUAGGGGUGAAAUCCGUAGAUCUAUGAAGGAACGCCAAAAGCGAAGGCAGCUCUCUGGGUCCCUACCGACACUGGGGUGCGAAAGCAUGGGGAGCGAACAGG